rnacentral:pre_miRNA from 1 species
AUGUUAACGUGAGAUAUGUUAACAUCAGUUUUCCAAAAAAUCGAUGUUAAUGCAUACACGUUAACAU